rnacentral:rRNA from 1 species
AGAGUUUGAUCCUGGCUCAGGACGAACGCUGGCGGCGUGCCUAAUACAUGCAAGUAGAACGCUGAAGACUUUAGCUUGCUAGAGUUGGAAGAGUUGCGAACGGGUGAGUAACGCGUAGGUAACCUGCCUACUAGCGGGGGAUAACUAUUGGAAACGAUAGCUAAUACCGCAUAACAGUGUUUAACACAUGUUAGAUGCUUGAAAGAUGCAAUUGCAUCACUAGUAGAUGGGCCUGCGUUGUAUUAGCUAGUUGGUGGGGUAACGGCCUACCAAGGCGACGAUACAUAGCCGACCUGAGAGGGUGAUCGGCCACACUGGGACUGAGACACGGCCCAGACUCCUACGGGAGGCAGCAGUAGGGAAUCUUCGGCAAUGGGGGCAACCCUGACCGAGCAACGCCGCGUGAGUUAAGAAGGUUUUCGGAUCGUAAACUCUGUUGUAAGAGAAGAACGUGUGUGAGAGUGGAAAGUUCACACAGUGACGGUAACUUACCAGAAAGGGACGGCUAACUACGUGCCACCAGCCGCGGUAAU